UCAAGCACACACACUAAGCGCGUUAAACUCUCUAUAAAGGCAUUUGCUUGGUAUUGGGUUUCAAUAUCUAGUUUUGUACCCAGCUCUCUUGAGGGUUGUGGAGUGUAGCUAGUAUUGAACAUGGAGAUCAAUUAUGCUCUGGCAUUGCUCUUAGUCCUCAUUCUCAACUUGGGUAGUUUGCUCACUUCUCUUGCUAACUCCUAUUGCCCACCACCAACAUACCCUCCAGUUCCUCACUUGCCACCCAAACACCCUCCCCAUGUAACUCCACCCUUCCACCCUAAACCACCAAAGAAGCCACCACCAUAUGUCAAACCACCUCAUGCAAAGCCUCCUCCUCAUGUACCAAUCAAACCCCCUCAUGUUAAACCACCCAUUGUAAAACCACCUCCUUAUCCGAAACCUCCAGUUGCCAAACCACCUCCCCAUCCCAAACCUCCUGUUGUCAAACCACCUCCCCAUCCCAAACCUCCUGUUGUCAAACCACCUCCCCAUCCCAAACCUCCUGUUGUCAAACCACCUCCCUAUCCCAAACCUCCUGUUGUCAAACCACCUCACCUAUCCCAAACCUCCUGUUGUCAAACCACCCUCCCUAUCCCAAACCUCCUGUUGUCAAACCACCUCCCUAUCCCAAACCUCCUGUUGUCAAACCACCUCACCAUCCCAAGCCUCCUGUUGUCAAACCACCUCCCCAUCCCAAACCUCCUGUUGUCAAGCCUCCAGUUGUCAAACCACCUCCCCAUCCCAAACCACCAGUUGUACUGCCUCCACCAUAUACCCCGAAGCCCCGGUUGUACUGCCUUCCACCAUAUACCCCGAAGCCCCCGGUUGUGCUGCCUCCACCAUAUACCCCGAAGCCCCCGGUUGUGGC
rnacentral:lncRNA from 1 species